rnacentral:rRNA from 1 species
GAUGAACGCUGGCGGCGUGCCUAAUACAUGCAAGUCGAGCGAACAGACGAGGAGCUUGCUCCUCUGACGUUAGCGGCGGACGGGUGAGUAACACGUGGAUAACCUACCUAUAAGACUGGGAUAACUUCGGGAAACCGGAGCUAAUACCGGAUAAUAUAUUGAACCGCAUGGUUCAAUAGUGAAAGACGGUUUUGCUGUCACUUAUAGAUGGAUCCGCGCCGCAUUAGCUAGUUGGUAAGGUAACGGCUUACCAAGGCAACGAUGCGUAGCCGACCUGAGAGGGUGAUCGCCCACACUGGAACGGAAACACGGUCCAGGCGCCUACGGGAGGCAGCAGUAGGGAAUCUUCCGCAAUGGGCGAAAGCUUGACGGAGCAACGCCGCGUGAGUGAUGAAGGUCUUCGGAGCGUAAAACUCUGUUAUUAGGGAAGAACAAAUGUGUAAGUAACUAUGCACGUCUUGACGGUACCUAAUCAGAAAGCCACGGCUAACUACGUG